GAGCGGGCGUAGCAAUACGUCAGCGGCAGACGGGUGAGUAACGCGUGGGAACGUACCUUUUGGUUCGGAACAACCCCAGGGAAACUUGGGCUAAUACCGGAUAAGCCCUCACGGGGAAAGAUUUAUCGCCGAAAGAUCGGCCCGCGUCUGAUUAGCUAGUUGGUGAGGUAAUGGCCCACCAAGGCGACGAUCAGUAGCUGGUCUGAGAGGAUGAUCAGCCACAUUGGGACUGAGACACGGCCCAAACUCCUACGGGAGGCAGCAGUGGGGAAUAUUGGACAAUGGGCGCAAGCCUGAUCCAGCCAUGCCGCGUGAGUGAUGAAGGCCCUAGGGUUGUAAAGCUCUUUUGUGCGGGAAGAUAGUGACGGUACCGCAAGAAUAAGCCCCGGCUAACUUCGUG
rnacentral:rRNA from 1 species